rnacentral:lncRNA from 1 species
AUUCGUGGCCUCGGGAGUCCCGGCAGCGCUUGUUGGCCUGGACUACGGUGGUGGUCUUGGGGCCGCGUGAGAGGAACUUCGGGGACCGGCUGAGUGCCUCGUGGCACCCGCUUGCUGCGGGCUGGAGAGGAGGCGCGCGGCCUUCCUUUUGACUCAGGCCGUGGCCGCCUUGUCGUGGGUCCUGUGUCUUUGCCGACGCGGGGCCCUCGGCCUGGAGCGCUGCCCACCCGCCUCCGAGCUGUGGCGAGCCGCUGCUCAUCCUUCUAAGACGCUGAACCUGCACCUCGUGGAGCUCCUACGGCUCCAUUACCGCAGUCAUCGCCCGGGGAGCUUCCCCCGAGGCUGCCCCUGGAGCUGGGGCUCUCACAAGGACUCAAGUGUUUCAGCCCCUUCCUGUCCCGCUCAUUCAGCCGGUCUGAACCAGUUUCAUGGCUUGCAACGCCAUUGUAACUCACUAAUCCCAAUUAUCAGUAUGUAGCUUGGAUCAAUUCCGUGAACCAGGGUUUCUGUCGAAUCUCAAACGUUAAGGGUCCAAAGCCAUGCUCCCUGUUUCCCCUCUAACCUGCUCCUUCACCACCGUUCCCUAUUUGAUGUAAACGGUACCAUUUUUACUCAGCUGCUCAGACUAAAAGCCGUGAGUCAGCCUUGCCCUGUCUUGCUUCCACAUCUGUUCUGACUACACCUCUCCGUUAUGUAUACACAAUAUAUCCUAAAUCUGACUUCUCAUCUCCAUUCCUACACUUCUCCCACAAGCCACGAUUACUCGGGCUGAAUUAUUGCAGUAGCCUUCUAAAAGUUGCCUCUGUGUCAACUCUUGCCCCCAGUACUUUAUUCUCAAUACAGCAGCCAGAGAGAUCUUCUUAAAAUCUAACUCAGGGCUGGGCGUGAGCCACCGUGCCCGGAAAUUCUUUCAAGGCUAAAUAAUAUCCCUUUGUAUGGACAUACCAUAUUUUGUUUAUCCAUUUAUCAGUUGAUGAACAUUUGGGUUGUUUUCACUUCUGCUAUUAUAAAUAUCCAUGAGUACCUCUAUGAACAAGUUUUUGUGGGAACAUGUGUUUUCAAUCCUCCUAAGAAUGAAGUAGUUGAGCCAUAUGGUAACUCAGAGUUUAACUUUUUGAGGAACUGUCAAACUGUUUUCCAAAGCAGCUACACUAUUUUACAUUUCCACUGGCAAUUGUAUGAGGGCUCCAAUUUUCUCCACAGCCUCACCAACACCUAUUAUUGUCUAUCUUUUUUUGUUUGUUUGUUUGAGACGGUGUUUCGCUCUUGUUGCUCAGGCUGGAGUGCAGUGGCGUGAUCUUGGCUCACCGCAACCUCCGCCUCCCGGGUUCAAGAGAUUCUCCAGCCUCAGCCUCCCUAGUAGCUGGGAUUACAGGCAUGCACCACCAAGCCCGGCUAAUUUUGUAUUUUUAGUAGAGUGGGGGUUUCUCCAUGUUGGUCAGGCUGGUCUCAAACUCCCGACCUCAGGUGAUCCGCCCUCCUUGGCCUCCCAAAGUGGUGGGAUUACAGGCGUGAGCCACCGCACCCCGCCAUUUGUGUAUCUUUUUGAGACAGGGUGCCACUCUGUCAUCCAGGCUGGAAUGCAGUGGCCCUAUCAUGGCUCACUGCAACCUUCCUGGGCUCAAGCAAUCCUCCACCUCAGCCUCCCAGGUAGCUGGGACCACAGGUGCAAACCACCAUGCCCAGAUAAUUUUUGUAUUUUUUUGUAGAGACAGGGCCUUGCCAUGUUGCCCAGGUUGGUCUCAAAUGCCUGGACUCAAGUGAUCCUCUCGCCUUGGCUUCCCAGAGUGCUGGAAUUACAGGCGUUGAGCCCCACACCCAGCUAAACACUUUUAAAUUGGGCAAUUUUUCUUUUUAUUGUUGAGUGGCAAGAGUUCUUUUAUAUAUUCUAGAUACAAGUCCCUAAUCAGAUCUAUAAUUUGUAAAUAGUCUCUCUUAUUCAGCGGAUUGGUUGUCUUUUCACUUUCUUGAUAGUGUCCUUUGAAGCACAAAAGUUUUUAAUUUUUAUAAAGUCCAGUUUAUUCAUUUUUGUUGUUGUUGUUGUUUGCACUUUUGGUGUCAUAUGCAAUAAAGCAUUGCCUAAUCCAGGAUACAAAUAUUUACCCAUAAUGUUUGCUUCUAAGUUUUAUGUGUUAGCUCUUACAUUUAGGUCUUUGAUUUAUUUUGAGCCAAUUUUUGUCUAUGGUAUGAGGGGGACUUCAAAUCUUGCCUGAAAUAGAGAUGGGAUUAAGAAGCUUUCAGAUCAAACAGGAGAUGGAGUGAUUACAGGAGGAAGAGUGAGAUGCAUUCUGGAAAGUAAGCAAUUCAGUGUGGCCACAGCCUAAA